ensembl:lncRNA
UGUUGCCCUGCUUAACUGGUUUGAUUUGUUCUCUUAUAUGUGGCAGUUUUGCGAAUGUCAUCACACCAGUCCAGACUGAGGUUUAUAAGAAAGAAGGAGAAAACGUUACUCUGUCCUGUAGCUACUCCUCAGCGUCUACACUGCAGUGGUAUCGCCAGUAUCCCGGAUCAGCUCCUCAAUUUCUUUUGAUAAUACUACAUGCUACAGGAAAAGUUUCACAAAAGUCAGAAAUUGUGGAUCGAGAUCCUCGAUUCUCUGGGAAAGUGAAUGAAGAGAAAACGCAUGUGAUUCUGGAGAUCUCCU